ACUUUCAACAAUGAUCUCUUGGUUCCGGCAUCGAUGAAGAACGCAGCGAAAUGCGAUAACUAAUGUGAAUUGCAGAAUUCAGUGAAUCAUCGAGUCUUUGAACGCACAUUGCGCCCCCUGUAUUCCGGGGCAUGCCUGUCCGAGCGUCAUUGCUGCCCUCAAGCCCGCUUGUGUGUUGGGUCGCCGUCCCCCUCUCCGGGGACGGCCCGAAAGGCAGCGCGCACCGCGUCCAUCCUCGAGCGUAUGGCUUUGUCACAUGCUCUGUAGGAUUGCCGCGCCUGCCGACGUUUCCAACCAUUCUUUCCAGUUGACCUCGGAUCAGUAGGAUACCCGCUGAACUUAAGCAUAUCAAUAAGCGGAGGAAAGAAACCAACCGGAUUGCCUCAUAACGGCGAGUGAAGGCAAGAGCUCAAAUUUGAAAGCUGGCUCCUUCGAGUCCGCAUUGUAAUUUGCAGAGGAUGCUUUGGUGCGGCCCCCGUAAGUGCCCUGAACGGGCCGUCAGAGAGGUGAGAAUCCCGUCUGGCGGGUGUCCGUGCCCGUGUAAAGCUCCUUCGACGAGUCGAGUUGUUUGGAAUGCAGCUCUAAAUGGUGGUAAAUUUCAUCUAAAGCUAAAUACUGCCGAGACCGAUAGCGCACAAGUAGAGUGAUCGAAAGAUGAAAAGCACUUUGAAAAGAGAGUUAAACAGCACGUGAAAUUGUUGAAAGGAAGCGCUUGCGACCAGACUCGCCCGCGGGUUCAGCCGCAUUCGUGCCGUUUACCCCCGGGCGGCCAGCGUCGUUUGGCGCCGGUCAAAGGCCCCUGAAUGUAGUGCCCUCCGGGCACCUUAUAGCCAGGUGCAAUGCGGCCAGCCUGGACCGGAACGCGCUUCGCACGGACGCUGGCAUAAUGGUCGUAAACGACCCGUCUUGAAACACGACCAAGAGUCUAACAUCUACGCGAGUGUUCGGUGUCAAACCCGUGCGCGCAGUGAAAGCGAACGGAGGUGGAGCCCCCUUGCGGGCGCACCAUCGACCGAUCCUGAUGUCUUCGGAUGGAUUUGAGUAAGAGCGUAGCUGUGGGACCCGAAAGAUGGUGAACUAUGCCUGAAUAGGCGAAGCCAGAGGAAACUCUGUGAGGCUCGCAGCGGUUCUGACGUGCAAAUCGAUCGUCAAAUUUGGUAUAGGCGAAAGACUAAUCGAACCAUCUAGUAGCUGGUUCCUGCCGAAGUUUCCCUCAGGAUAGCAGUAACGCAAAAUCAGUUUUAUGAGGUAAAGCGAAUGAUUAGAGCAUUGGUUAAACAACCUUAACCUAUUCUCAAACUUUAAAUAUGUAAGAAAGCCCUUGUGCUUAGUUGAACGUGGCAUUAGAAUGAGCUUACUAGUGGCCAUUUUGUAAGCAGAACUGGCGAUGCGGAUGAACCGAACGCGAUUAAGUCCGGAAUGCACGCUCAUCAGACACCACAAAAGGUUAGUUCAUCUAGACAGCCCGACGUGCCAUGAAGUCGGAAUCCGCUAAGAGUGUGUAACAACUCACGGCCGAAUGAACUAGCCCUGAAAAUGGAUGGCGCUCAAGCGUGCUACCCAUACCUCGCCGUCGGGUAGAAACGAUGCCCCGACGAGUAGCAGGCGUGGGGUCCUGACGAAGCCUUGGAGUGAUCCCGGUCGAACGGCCCCUAUGCAGAUCUGGUGGUAGUAGCAAAUACUCAAAUGAACUUGGACUGAAGUGGGAAAGUUCCAUGUGAACAGCAGUUGACAUGGUUAGUCAUCCUAAGCAUAGGAAGUUCCGUUUGAAAGGCCCCUCGCGCCGUGUGCCGAAAGGAAGCCGGUUAACAUUCCGCACCUGGAUGGAUUCUCCACGGCAACGUAACUGAACGCGGAGACAUCGCGGGGUCCUGGAAGAGUUCUCUUUUCUUCUUGACGCCUAUCACCCUGAAAUCGGUUGUCCGAGCUAGGGUUCCACGCCGGCAGAGCCCUGCACCUUUGCAGGUCCGUGCGCCCCCGACGAUCCUUGAAAAUCCGCGGGAAGGAAUAGUUUUCACGCCAGGUCUACUCAUAACCGCAGCAGUCUCCAAGGUGAACAGCCUCUAGUUGAUAGAACAAUGUAGAUAAG
rnacentral:rRNA from 1 species